AUUGAACGCUGGCGGCGGGCCUAACACAUGCAAGUCGAGCGGUUGAGGGGAGCAUGCUUCUGGACUCAGCGGCCGACGGACGGGUAAUUAAUAGGAAUCUGCCCGGUAGUGGGGGAUAACGCCCGGUAACGGGCGCUAUUAUCGCACACGAUCUGAGGGUGAAACAGAGGGAUCUUCGGACAAAACGCCAACAGCAGCACCUAGGUCGGAUUAGCUAGUUGGUGGGGUAAAGGCCUACGAAGACGACGAACAGUACCUGGACUGAGAGGAUGACCAGCACGAUGGGACCUGGGACACGGCCCAGACUCUUACGGGAGGCGGCGGUGGGGAAUAUUGGACAUGGGGCGAAAGCUGGCUGCAGCCAGGCGGCGUGGUGGAAGAAGGUCUUCGGAUUGUAAAGCCCGUUAGUUGGGGAGAAAGUUCAGUAAGGUAAAACGUUGCUGAUUUGACGUUACCUACAGAGAAAGCGCCGGCUAACUACGUG
rnacentral:rRNA from 1 species